rnacentral:rRNA from 1 species
CUCGUAGGCGGCCAACUAAGUCAGACGUGAAAUCCCUCAGCUUAACUGGGGAACUGCGUCUGAUACUGGAUGGCUUGGAUUCGGGAGAGGGAUGCGGAAUUCCAGGUGUAGCGGUGAAAUGCGUAGAUAUCUGGAGGAACACCGGUGGCGAAGGCGGCAUCCUGGACCGAUAUUGACGCUGAGGAGCGAAAGCCAGGGGAGCAAACG